rnacentral:lncRNA from 1 species
GUUGUAUCAACUGAUGACAUCCAGCAUUAACUGGAGUUGACCUGUGGCAUCAAACCUGCAAGCAGAGCUGCACUUUGCUGAUUCUUGAUUUCCACCUGAAUGGACCAAAAGAACCUUCAACUCUAAUUGGCAACAUGUCCACCUUCGUACAAGGUUCAGGUUUUCUUUUGGGAUCCAGUACUGCUUUGCAGAGGCAGUGCAAAUCUUCCCUGAUGUGUCAUGGUGCAGUCACUCUUGG